UGGGGGAUAUUGCACAAUGGGCGCAAGCCUGAUGCAGCGACGCCGCGUGGGGGAUGAAGGCCUUCGGGUUGUAAACUUCUUUUGCUCUGAACAAGGCGCACUUUGGGGUGUGUUGAGUGUAGGGGUUGAUUAGCGCCGGCUAACUACGUGCCAGCAGCCGCGGUAAUACGUAGGGCGCGAGCGUUGUCCGGAAUUAUUGGGCGUAAAGGGCUUGUAGGUGGCUGGUUGCGUCUGUCGUGAAAGCUCAUGGCUUAACUGUGGGUUUGCGGUGGGUACGGGCUGGCUUGAGUGCAGUAGGGGAGGCUGGAAAUUCCUGGUGUAGCGGUGGAAUGCGCAGAUAUCAGGAGGAAUACCGGUGGCGAAGGCGGGUCUCUGGGCUGUUACUGACACUGAGGAGCGAAAGCAUGGGGAGCGAACAGG
rnacentral:rRNA from 1 species